rnacentral:rRNA from 1 species
GAUGAACGCUGGCGGCGUGCCUAAUACAUGCAAGUCGAGCGAACGGACGAGAAGCUUGCUUCUCUGAUGUUAGCGGCGGACGGGUGAGUAACACGUGGAUAACCUACCUAUAAGACUGGGAUAACUUCGGGAAACCGUAGCUAAUACCGGAUAAUAUUUUGAACCGCAUGGUUCAAAAGUGAAAGACGGUCUUGCUGUCACUUAUAGAUGGAUCCGCGCUGCAUUAGCUAGUUGGUAAGGUAACGGCUUACCAAGGCAACGAUGCAUAGCCGACCUGAGAGGGUGAUCCGCUACACUGGAACUGAGACAGGGUCCAGACUCCGACAGGAGGACGCAGUAGGGAAUCUUACGCAAGGGGCGAAAGCCCGACGGAGCAAAGCCGGGGGAGUGAUGAAGGUCUCCGGAUGGUAAAACUCUGUUAUUAGGGAAGAACAAAUGUGUAAGUAACUGUGCACAUCUUGACGGUACCUAAUCAGAAAGCCACGGCUAACUACGUG